AAUGCACCAGCGCCAAAGACAGACGAACGUUGUCGUUGAGAGGGGAUGACGACAUUGGCGACUUAAUUUGUGAGAUGAGCUGAGCUGAGCUGAGCUGUGAAAGGCAGACGAACCAGAUCGAAUGUUUUGGGAACUUUGUAAGGUGUUUUUGUUCAGUCAACAAAUCAUUGUUCAGUGAAACGCACAAACAGGAUGUCCCUUUGUACACACCGUAUGUAAAUGCAGCAGCGCCAAAGACAGACGAACGUUGAGGAGCUGACGACAGUGGCGACUUUGUGAGAUGGCUACUGAGUUCACUCGAAUCACCACCCUUCCACUGAUUCAAACAUUCAUGUCAAAACUGGAUGGCUACGCUAACAAACUGGCCAGAGUCUACAGGAAAAAAGGAGGAGCUGCAGGGCCCAAGAUCAGUGAAUUGAUGUCUGCCAUUGACGAGGACAAUGACUUGGAGAAAGCUGAGAGAGACAUGGCUAAUACAGUCAUUGGAAUUUGCAUUGUCCGAGCUGAAGGUGCGGGACCUGAACAACCACCAUUGGAUGUUGGGAUCAUUGUUGAAGGAGUGAAAGUGCUUCAGCAUCUACGAGAUGUCACCAAGGCUUGUGCUCUCCUCUUGGGAGUAAUAUAUACCUUGAAUCUUAGCUAUCCAUGUGAUCUCAAGUACACCUUUGAGUUUCUUCAAAAGGUGUUACUGGAACUUGAUGCAAGCAAACUUUCACACAAAAUGCAGGUACUUAAAAAUAAACUUAUGGAAUAAUUAACUGAUGUUUAGUUUAAUUCCAGUACAAUACUGCUGUUUGAAAAACAAUAUUGUUUUUGUGUUUAUUUUUUUGUAUAAAAAAACAUGCCUCAUUCCUUUCUAUGAGGGUCAAGUUCUGUAGCACUUUGGGGUGCGUUAGACACGAAUUGUCAUGCU